CUUUAAGGUCCCCUCCAAACCAAUACAGACUCUGUAAUAGACUGAAGAUGGUCAGGAGGAUGGAAAAGACAGAACAAGGAGGAGAGCUGACCCAUAGAGACCAAAGGAUCACUGCAUGCAGAAUGAGGCCAUAAUCAGAUAGAAGAGGUGGGGAAAAGAGGGAGAAAUUUCCUCCCUUCAAUAAACAGGAAACACGGACCAUGAUGAGGUGUCUGACGUCCCCAAAUAAAAGCGGAGGCUCUGCAGACACAGCGGAUGCAUCACGGGCUGCAUUGAAGUCUCUGACUGUGGGUUAACUCACUUAUCAGCUACAGAAACACCACAGGCCUGUCUGUAUUGUCAGAACACAAACCUGUGGCCAUCUACACCCAGCUCACAGCAAAGUAAGCGCUGUACGAUCUCCAAGAGAUGUUGGGGCAAUCAGGAUGGGCCGUGCUGUGUCCUUCUGUCCCUGCCCUCCUGCUGCUGCUGGUUGGUGCAGGUACCACUGUGAGCACCCAGGACAUCUGCAGCUCCACGGCUGAUGGAACCCUCCAAGCUCCAGUCCUGGUGCUGAGCACUUCCAGAGCUCAGGAAGGAGAUGUCGUCCUGGCUUAUUGUUUCCUUCAGAAGAUGAUACCUGCUACCCGCAUUGUCCUCUGCAAGGAUGGGGUGCAGGAGUACACCAUGAAAGCCCAAGAGGACAUGGUCAUCUACUCCAUGCCAAUGAAUGUGUCUGCAGGAAGCAGUGGGUCUUACACCUGUGGGUACCAGCAGAGGGAUGAGAACCAUUGGAUAAGGAGCUCUGCCCUCAGCACUCCCGUGGUCCUCCAUGUCACAGGCCAUGGGUCCAACUCCAUUAAAGGAUCAGCACAUACAGCUGCCUACACCCAGUUGGACUUGGCAGUCAUUGCAGUGGCAUCAGCAGCCGUCACCCUUCUCUUGUCCUCAGCCUCCUACUGGAUCAUCAAGAAAGGUGCCUGCCGAGAGAGAUGCCAAAGUGCUGGUAGUGCUGAGGAACCUUCUCCUGACCACGCUUCUUACUGUAAGUGCCAUUCCCUGUGCACCCUUUAACCUCCAGGCACAGAGUACAAUGCAGACACGAUCCCAUAAGUCAGUAUUAAUCACAUGAAUUAAUUAACAGCUGAUCAAGUUAAUUUGUCAGGGUAUGGUCCCUACAGUAUCCAGCUAUCUUCUCUCUAAUCCUCCCCAUCAAACAUGAUCAGGUUGCCUUCAACUUGCCCUACAGUCCCCAUUUCUUUUGCUGGCCCUGCUGUGAACUAACAGCACUUUCACUUUCCAAACCAGCUCUGAGUGUUUCAUGUUAAACGUUCAGAGCAUUUCAUAUGGGGGUGAGGACAGUUCUUACCAACAGAGCAGCCUCCACCCAAUAUCACACAGCAGCAAAACCAGCCACCCCACAACACAGGGCGUUACCGUGGGGCCGCAAUGCAGAGCUCAGCAGCCAUUGCAGGGAGCUGUAACGGUGAAUAAUGUUGGCAUAGGAAGCCCAUGGGUGCAGUGGUGCUGGUGGCUGGGGAAGGUCUCUUCCCUGCUGAUGGCUGGAAACUCAUUCAGGAUCUCCCUGCAGAUGCCAACGUGGAUGAAAGGAGGAGAGUGAAGGUGAGUUGUGCCCUUGUAGUGGCCCUAAAGGUUGAAGGUGCUUUUAUUGCCUACAUAAGGCAUGGCAAUGGAGGGGAAAUGCAAGCCCAGAGUGCUGCUGGUGGUGCUCUGGCUGCAGUUCCCCUCCUGCCAUGAUCCCAUGGGGGAUGCUGCGUGGUCGUGCUGUGGGGCCAUUGUAAUUCCUUGUCUGUGUUUUGAAUCGACAGCUCUGAAGUUGGCACAUAAGGCAGAUGAUGAGAAAGUGAGAGGCUGUCCACCCCUUUCUAUGGCAAGAACAACAGGGGAAGCACAGCAGAGGUGACCCUGAGCAAUAAAAGCAUGAAACCCCACUGAACCCA
ensembl:lncRNA